rnacentral:rRNA from 1 species
UACGGAGGAUGCGAGCGUUAUCCGGAUUUAUUGGGUUUAAAGGGAGCGUAGACGGGAUGUUAAGUCAGCUGUGAAAUGGUGCGGCUCAACCGUAGCACUGCAGUUGAAACUGGACGGCUUGAGUGCAGUUGAGGCAGGCGGAAUUCGUGGUGUAGCGGUGAAAUGCUUAGAUAUCACGAAGAACCCCGAUUGCGAAGGCAGCCUGCUAAGCUGCAACUGACGUUGAGGCUCGAAAGUGUGGGUAUCAAACAGG